CUGGUCAUCAUAAACAACGAAGAGGAACAGAAGUUUGUCUCUGAGCUGAGUAAGGAUGGAGAGUACUGGAUUGGUCUACGGUAUGAUUUCAUACAAGGAGAUUGGAAAUGGGAAUGGGUGGAUGGAUCACCGCUGACAGAAACAUUCUGGGGAGCAGGACAGCCUCAGCAUGGUUACUCGAACAC